UUACAUGAACAAAUGCGUUAUCUUUGACUGGCGAAAGCAGGAAGCAAGCCUGAAAUCUUGAGGAGCCACUGUAGAAAUCCCCUGGAGAGAUGGUUAUGGAGUUUGCUGCAGCUUUGUGAGUGAACUCUGCAGGGACUUGUUUACCUGGUAAGCAUACAUAUUCGGCAGACCUACAAUUUAUGAUUACUCUUGUUGCUUCGUCAUCCAGUUUCAAACAGUUAUGAAACAUGAGUUCCCUGAUUAAAUCUGAAUCUUGUAAGAGCGUUGAGAACUCGACAUUCUCAAGUGAAACACAGUUGUUUGCAUGUAGGGACUUGAGGGAACUGGGGAGAUGCUCCACUGAAAUUAGUUUUCUACAGUUUUCGAUGAUAAGAGUUCGUAACCGAUGGAGACCACUGACGUAAUCUGGAAUCCUCUCUAUACCACUCCCGCUUAGGUCUAGCUUCC
rnacentral:lncRNA from 1 species